rnacentral:tRNA from 1 species
GGGUCUGUAGCUCAGGGUUAGAGCAGGGGACUCAUAAUCCCUUGGUCGUGGGUUCGAACCCACCGGACCCACCA